GCUCCAGUGGCGCAGUCGGUUAGCGCGCGGUACUUAUAGUGCCGAGGCUGUGAGUUCGAUCCUCACCCGGAGCA